rnacentral:misc_RNA from 1 species
GAUGAAGAACGCAGCGAAAUGCGAUAAGUAAUGUGAAUUGCAGAAUUCAGUGAAUCAUCGAAUCUUUGAACGCACAUUGCGCCCCCUGGUAUUCCGGGGGGCAUGCCUGUUCGAGCGUCAUUUCACCACUCAAGCCUCGCUUGGUAUUGGGCAACGCGGUCCGCCGCGUGCCUCAAAUCGACCGGCUGGGUCUUCUGUCCCCUAAGCGUUGUGGAAACUAUUCGCUAAAGGGUGCUCGGGAGGCUACGCCGUAAAACAAACCCAUUUCUACGGUUGACCUCGGAUCAGGUAGGGAUACCCGCUGAACUUAAGCAUAUCAAUAAGCGGAGGA